AGUCGAGCGGCAGCACGGGUACUUGUACCUGGUGGCGAGCGGCGGACGGGUGAGUAAUGCCUAGGAAUCUGCCUGGUAGUGGGGGAUAACGCUCGGAAACGGACGCUAAUACCGCAUACGUCCUACGGGAGAAAGCAGGGGACCUUCGGGCCUUGCGCUAUCAGAUGAGCCUAGGUCGGAUUAGCUAGUUGGUGAGGUAAUGGCUCACCAAGGCGACGAUCCGUAACUGGUCUGAGAGGAUGAUCAGUCACACUGGAACUGAGACACGGUCCAGACUCCUACGGGAGGCAGCAGUGGGGAAUAUUUGACAAUGGGCGAAAGCCUGAUCCAGCCAUGCCGCGUGUGUGAAGAAGGUCUUCGGAUUGUAAAGCACUUUAAGUUGGGAGGAAGGGCAGUUACCUAAGACGUGAGUGUUUUGACGUUACCGACAGAAUAAGCACCGUCUAACUCUGUG
rnacentral:rRNA from 1 species